UUGAGGACACGUCCAUCUGCCCGCUGGGACAUUCCAUCAUCGCCGGUCAGGACUCAUGUAGAGGGACACCACCUCCUCUACAUUUGGUGACCCGAACAAUGAACACCAUGUUCGGCGUAAUUCGGCCAUGCAACAUCCUAAAUUUUUCGGCAAACAAGCAGCGAACCACCCUCUAGCAGGCAAGGCGCACUGGGACCACUGUUCCACCGGGGACCCGCAGGGACACCACAGUAAGCUGACUUUCCAGCCUCCACCUGCUUCAUUAUGGUCCUCCCCGGCACUUCUCUGGCGGCAACCGGCAUUCACGCUGUCGUACCGGUCGCGGUACUGUCGCCCUCUCAGCAACUCACUCACUCAGCAACAAUCAACGCUCGACAGCAAUCACUCAACAAGGGCUCAACGCACUCAGCAGGGACUCAACACAAUCAGCAACAACUCAAGCACCCAAGCACUCAACAUUCACAUCUCAUCACUGGAACCCGCCCGGAUCGCAGCGCUCUUGUUCCCGCCAUCCCGCUGCUGCUGCAUCAACAGCCGCAAGCGCAAGCCGUGUGUCCAGUCAUCCACCAUCCACGAGUCGUCCUAAUUCUCCUCUUCAUGGUAUCGACGCGGGCUUCAAUCCCAUGCAACGCUCCGCGUAUGAGGGGGGGGGAGAGUGAUGUGGCGGCCCGUGGACGACGAUGACGACGUGCCCCUGCUGCCACGCGCUACGGCGCUGGCACGGCAGUUCUACCGGCACCGUCCUAGCGUGAGGCCACGUCCAUCUGCCCGCUGGGACAUUCCAUUAUUGCCGGUCAGGACUCAUGUAGAGGGACACCAACUCCUCUACAGGUACAUGGCAGGGACAUGUUCUCCUCUCAUGGGGUGCGUUCCAAAACCUACUCUAGUCAACUCGGGAGUACCUCUCUACCCGAAGCGCCGUUCCAAAAUCGGGUCGAGUAACUCGAUGACGUCACUACCCGCGUUCCAAAACAAGGUGGAGUAACCAGAGUGUUAACUCGAUUCAACUCUCCUUGGAAGGCCGGUCAGGGAAGGUUCGCUCGAGUAAUGACGGCAUGCUUUUCUCGUCUGCUCUUUUCCGCUAAAGCGCGGUAUCGAAACCAGCUGAACGUGUGGUUGUCGAAAAGCCUCUACCUCCACGACGGGUUAUCAGUACACAACUGGACACCGAAAUGACAACACUCUUCCGAUGCGGAUUGUGCGACAUGGUUUCUGAGGACCAGGCGGACGCCCAAAGACAUGUGAGCCGGAUACAUUUCUCAGGACAAAGUGAUGUCUUCAUCCGUUCAGCUCACAUUCGACUCCGACGCCGCGGACAUUUCCGUGACCCAAACCACGCCCGCGCCACUACCUCAGUUCCAGGAUUCCAACCAGCAGCUUCCACGUUUUGUAUUUUUCAUCUUCUGUCGUUAUGAUGUUAACAUUUUUCUUUUUUAUUUCUUUUGACUACCAAAUGCAACGUUAUGUAUCCACUUCAUGCAUUUGGGGUACGUGAAGUCUUCCAUCCCACAAAAAAUUAGCAAAUAAAUGACAAUGUCAGCUG